rnacentral:rRNA from 1 species
CUACGGGGCGCUGCAGUGGGGAAUAUUGCACAAUGGAGGGGACUCUGAUGCAGCAACGCCGCGUGGAGGAUGACGCAUUUCGGUGUGUAAACUCCUUUUAUAUAGGAAGAUAAUGACGGUACUAUAUGAAUAAGCACCGGCUAACUCCGUGCCAGCAGCCGCGGUAAUACGGAGGGUGCAAGCGUUACUCGGAAUCACUGGGCGUAAAGCGCAUGCAGGCGGUUAAAUAAGUUGGAAGUGAAAUCCUAUGGCUCAACCAUAGAACUGCUUCCAAAACUGUUUAACUAGAGUCUGGGAGGGGAAGAUGGAAUUAGUAGUGUAGGGGUAAAAUCCGUAGAGAUUACUAGGAAUACCAAAAGCGAAGGCGAUCUUCUGGAACAGUACUGACGCUGAGAUGCGAAAGCGUGGGGAGCAAACAGGAUUAGAUACCCGAGUAGUC